ACAAUGAUACUUCCGUCCAGUCAUAGUCCGAGCGUUAGAAGCGUCGCAGGCAAUGAGGGCGGCUGCGGGAAAUCCCUGCGGUGGUGAGAUUCCAAUG
rnacentral:ncRNA from 1 species